rnacentral:rRNA from 1 species
CAGCCGCCGCGGUAAAACGGAGGGUGCAAGCGUUAUCCGGAUUUACUGGGUUUAAAGGGUGUGUAGGCGGGCUAUUAAGUCAGGGGUGAAAUCUCCGAGCUCAACUCGGAAACUGCCUUUGAUACUAUUAGUCUUGAAUUAUGUUGAGGUUGGCGGAAUAUAACAUGUAGCGGUGAAAUGCAUAGAUAUGUUAUAGAACACCGAUUGCGAAGGCAGCUGACUAAGCAUAUAUUGACGCUGAUGCACGAAAGCGUGGGGAUCAAACAGGAUUAGAUACCCCCGUAGUUCCUGUCUCUUAUAC